rnacentral:miRNA from 1 species
CACCAUGUUUUCGUGUUGUCUCCCC